AACCCUGGUUCCAGGUCUUGAAACGAAACUCUCUUUCCCUUCCAUCCCCACCUUCACGAUGAGAAGAGAAUCGAGAGAGAGGGUUGCGCCCACCACCACCACCACCGGCGAAGACGACGCUUCCACCUCCACCGGUGACACGCUUCCCACCUCCACCACCAAUACCCAACCCCAAGUUUUCUGUUCUCAAAUCCCCUCUCCCUAUCUCGAGUUGAUUCUCCUGGUCACCGCAGACGAGGGAAGCGCUCCCCACCGUCGGCGACCGCCACCACAACCGGCUUCUGGCAGUCUGACGUUACCCCCACCACGAAGGUUGGAGAUGUUAGUGAAAUAAUUGAAGAACCCCAAACCAGUCAAAACCAGAAGAAGCAAAUUCUGUCCUUAGAGAUACCCUCAACAACAAGUGAGGGUUCUACGGAGGAUUUUAUCAGAAUAACUAUGCCCCUAACACCUAAUCGGACUCCUAAAAGAGUGAACUUUUCACCAAGGCCCAGCCCUUGUUUUUACGGAUUCAAUGAUUCUCUAAGUCCAUUGUCAUCAAGACGUAAAUCAUCAAUGAAAAAUCUCCUUCCAAAACUGAGCUUCAAAUUUUGGAAUAGUAACUCAGAGAUAGAGAAGGCUGCUAUCCUAGCUUUGGGGGAUUCACCAAUUGGGUCACAAGAGAAGCCCAUUCAAAGGACAAUCUCACAAAACUUUUUGCACCCAAAAUGAAAAUGACUUCGUCUUUACCUGUUACCCCAAUUGAACAUUCGAAUCCGGAAUCUACGCAUAGAGGGAACACAAUCAAUUGUUAUGCUAUGUUCGUUGGUGGAGUUCAAGCGGAGUAAAAAUAUGGCGCGGCCAAUAGAGAGAGCCAUCUAUUAAAUCUAGAGGAUGGGAAAAGAAAUCAUGUGAUCGUGCAACUGUAAAGGAUAGCUCAGCUGCUGCGAAAGUUAGCUAUGGGACCAAUAGCUUUGCAAAAACUAGUGGAGACUUGAAAAGGCAGUGAAAGAGAUUGAAGUCAUUCAAGUGAAUCAAAGGCCAUGGAAAAUGAUCAAUUUGUUGUAGUUUGGAAUAUCAAUAUGUACUAAGUUUUGUAAUAUCAACUUGUAAUAUUGCGAAACCUAACUUCGUAUGUAAUUGUUAUUUUGAUGAGAACGGCCCGGCGUGGGUUUUAAAUUUAUUGUAUUAUGGUUUUCGUUGUGAAAUGAUAAUUUGGCAAUAGGUUUUGGCUAUGAAUGUGACUUGUGAAUGGUGAUUUAGAAUGAGAAAUGCCCGGCGUGGGCUUGUGCA